CUACGGGAGGCAGCAGUGGGGAAUAUUGGACAAUGGGGAAACCCUGAUCCAGCAAUGCCGCGUGUGUGAAGAAGGCCUGCGGGUUGUAAAGCACUUUCGGUUGGGAGGACUGCUUCUAGCACUAAUAUUGUUGGAAGUUGACGUUACCUUCAGAAGAAGCACCGGCUAACUCCGUGCCAGCAGCCGCGGUAAUACGGAGGGUGCAAGCGUUGAUCGGAAUUACUGGGCGUAAAGCGCGCGUAGGCGGCUAGAUCAGUCGGGUGUGAAAGCCCCGGGCUUAACCUGGGAACUGCAUCCGAUACUGUCUAGCUUGAGUUCAGGAGAGGAGAGUGGAAUUCCACAUGUAGCGGUGAAAUGCGUAGAUAUGUGGAGGAACACCAAUGGCGAAGGCAGCUCUCUGGCCUGAUACUGACGCUGAGGUGCGAAAGCGUGGGGAGCAAACAGGAUUAGAUACCCGCGUAGUC
rnacentral:rRNA from 1 species